rnacentral:lncRNA from 1 species
UAAUUUUAAAUUCUUUUUAAUGGAAAAAUGAAAAUUAUGAAGAAUAUCAUUUUCCAGGUCUCGUCACUGUAAAUUUCCAAGCAGUUGAAGCAGCGAAUUGAAGAAAAGGGUGUUGGGUAGUUCCGCUGACUGCGUCCACCACCACCACCACCACCUUACUCUUCUUCUUCCCAUGUCGUUUCCUUUACGUCACAGUUUUAUUUUCAUAUACAAUGAC